CCCUUAGAUGUUCUGGGCCGCACGCGCGCUACACUGACUGGUGCAACAAGUGUCGCUCCUUGGCCGAUAGGCCUGGGCAAUCUUUGAACGCCCGUCGUGAUGGGGAUAGAUUCUUGCAAUUUUUGAUCUUCAACGAGGAAUUCCUAGUAAACGCGAGUCAUCAACUCGCAUUGAUUACGUCCCUGCCCUUUGUACACACCGCCCGUCGCACCUACCGAUUGAAUGGUCCGGUGAACCCUCCGGAUCGGCUCGCGCCAACGCAAGUUGAGCAAAGGCCGAGAAGUUGGGUAAACCUUACCAUUUAGAGGAAGGUGAAGUCGUAACA
rnacentral:rRNA from 1 species